rnacentral:sRNA from 1 species
CUGCCGCAGUUGCUGCCGUUGCUGUUGCUGCCGUUGCUGUUGCUACCAUUGCUACCGUUGCUAUUGCUGUUGCUGUUGCUG